GGUUUCGUAGGUGACCUGCGGAAGGAUCAUUGUCGAUACCGGCUCAAUAGAGAGACCCGUGAACACGUUGCAUUGCGAUCGGGGGUGUACGGAGUGGGGGUGCGACCCCUUCCUCUUGGACCCUCGUAAGGUCGGACCCCAAGCCUUGGUGGCAUUCGACCCAAAAAACACAACCAACGGCGCGGUUAGCGCCAAGGAACUUAUAACGGAAUGGACGUGUGCUAUCUCUGUGCCUCUGGUGCGGUGUUUGUGUCGUCUUAAAUCCGAAUCUUAUUAAUGACUCUCGGCAACGGAUAUCUCGGCUCUCGCAUCGAUGAAGAACGUAGCGAAAUGCGAUACUUGGUGUGAAUUGCAGAAUCCCGUGAACCAUCGAGUCUUUGAACGCAAGUUGCGCCCGAGGCCAUCAGGCUGAGGGCACGCCUGCCUGGGCGUCACGCAUCGUGUCGCCCCCUCUUCUGCCUUAUGUGGCGGCAGGGUGGGAGCGAAGAUUGGCCCCCCGUGUCGAUGUUUGAGGUGCGGUUGGCCUAAAGGCAAGGGCCCCUGUGUGGCGAGCGUCACGACGAGUGGUGGUUGAAGCCACUUUGCCAUAAAGUUCGGACGUCGUGCGUGCUCUAUGCUCCCAUUGGGCUGUGGUGACCCUGAUAGUCCGUCGACCUGCGAUGGCAUUCGACUGCGACCCCA
rnacentral:misc_RNA from 1 species